AUACGUAGGGGGCGAGCGUUGUCCGGAAUGAUUGGGCGUAAAGGGCGCGUAGGCGGCCCGGUAAGUCUGGAGUGAAAGUCCUGCUUUUAAGGUGGGAAUUGCUUUGGAUACUGUCGGGCUUGAGUGCAGGAGAGGUAAGUGGAAUUCCCAGUGUAGCGGUGAAAUGCGUAGAGAUUGGGAGGAACACCAGUGGCGAAGGCGACUUACUGGACUGUAACUGACGCUGAGGCGCGAAAGUGUGGGGAGCAAACAGGAUUAGAUACCCUGGUAGUCCACACUGUAAACGAUGAAUGCUAGGUGUAGGGGGUAUCGACCCCUUCUGUGCCGCAGUUAACACAAUAAGCAUUCCGCCUGGGGAGUACGGCCGCAAGGUUGAAACUCAAAUGAAUUGGCGGG
rnacentral:rRNA from 1 species